GGGUUGUGAGGUUAAGCGACUAAGCGUACACGGUGGAUGCCCUGGCAGUCAGAGGCGAUGAAGGACGUGCUAAUCUGCGAUAAGCGUCGGUAAGGUGAUAUGAACCGUUAUAACCGGCGAUUUCCGAAUGGGGAAACCCAGUGUGUUUCGACACACUAUCAUUAACUGAAUCCAUAGGUUAAUGAGGCGAACCGGGGGAACUGAAACAUCUAAGUACCCCGAGGAAAAGAAAUCAACCGAGAUUCCCCCAGUAGCGGCGAGCGAACGGGGAGCAGCCCAGAGCCUGAAUCAGUGUGUGUGUUAGUGGAAGCGUCUGGAAAGGCGCGCGAUACAGGGUGACAGCCCCGUACACAAAAAUGCACAUGCUGUGAGCUCGAUGAGUAGGGCGGGACACGUGGUAUCCUGUCUGAAUAUGGGGGGACCAUCCUCCAAGGCUAAAUACUCCUGACUGACCGAUAGUGAACCAGUACCGUGAGGGAAAGGCGAAAAGAACCCCGGCGAGGGGAGUGAAAAAGAACCUGAAACCGUGUACGUACAAGCAGUGGGAGCACGCUUAGGCGUGUGACUGCGUACCUUUUGUAUAAUGGGUCAGCGACUUAUAUUCUGUAGCAAGGUUAACCGAAUAGGGGAGCCGAAGGGAAACCGAGUCUUAACUGGGCGUUAAGUUGCAGGGUAUAGACCCGAAACCCGGUGAUCUAGCCAUGGGCAGGUUGAAGGUUGGGUAACACUAACUGGAGGACCGAACCGACUAAUGUUGAAAAAUUAGCGGAUGACUUGUGGCUGGGGGUGAAAGGCCAAUCAAACCGGGAGAUAGCUGGUUCUCCCCGAAAGCUAUUUAGGUAGCGCCUCGUGAAUUCAUCUCCGGGGGUAGAGCACUGUUUCGGCAAGGGGGUCAUCCCGACUUACCAACCCGAUGCAAACUACGAAUACCGGAGAAUGUUAUCACGGGAGACACACGGCGGGUGCUAACGUCCGUCGUGAAGAGGGAAACAACCCAGACCGCCAGCUAAGGUCCCAAAGUCAUGGUUAAGUGGGAAACGAUGUGGGAAGGCCCAGACAGCCAGGAUGUUGGCUUAGAAGCAGCCAUCAUUUAAAGAAAGCGUAAUAGCUCACUGGUCGAGUCGGCCUGCGCGGAAGAUGUAACGGGGCUAAACCAUGCACCGAAGCUGCGGCAGCGACGCUGAUGCGUUGUUGGGUAGGGGAGCGUUCUGUAAGCCUGCGAAGGUGUGCUGUGAGGCAUGCUGGAGGUAUCAGAAGUGCGAAUGCUGACAUAAGUAACGAUAAAGCGGGUGAAAAGCCCGCUCGCCGGAAGACCAAGGGUUCCUGUCCAACGUUAAUCGGGGCAGGGUGAGUCGACCCCUAAGGCGAGGCCGAAAGGCGUAGUCGAUGGGAAACAGGUUAAUAUUCCUGUACUUGGUGUUACUGCGAAGGGGGGACGGAGAAGGCUAUGUUGGCCGGGCGACGGUUGUCCCGGUUUAAGCGUGUAGGCUGGUUUUCCAGGCAAAUCCGGAAAAUCAAGGCUGAGGCGUGAUGACGAGGCACUACGGUGCUGAAGCAACAAAUGCCCUGCUUCCAGGAAAAGCCUCUAAGCAUCAGGUAACAUCAAAUCGUACCCCAAACCGACACAGGUGGUCAGGUAGAGAAUACCAAGGCGCUUGAGAGAACUCGGGUGAAGGAACUAGGCAAAAUGGUGCCGUAACUUCGGGAGAAGGCACGCUGAUAUGUAGGUGAAGUCCCUCGCGGAUGGAGCUGAAAUCAGUCGAAGAUACCAGCUGGCUGCAACUGUUUAUUAAAAACACAGCACUGUGCAAACACGAAAGUGGACGUAUACGGUGUGACGCCUGCCCGGUGCCGGAAGGUUAAUUGAUGGGGUCAGCGCAAGCGAAGCUCUUGAUCGAAGCCCCGGUAAACGGCGGCCGUAACUAUAACGGUCCUAAGGUAGCGAAAUUCCUUGUCGGGUAAGUUCCGACCUGCACGAAUGGCGUAAUGAUGGCCAGGCUGUCUCCACCCGAGACUCAGUGAAAUUGAACUCGCUGUGAAGAUGCAGUGUACCCGCGGCAAGACGGAAAGACCCCGUGAACCUUUACUAUAGCUUGACACUGAACAUUGAGCCUUGAUGUGUAGGAUAGGUGGGAGGCUUUGAAGUGUGGACGCCAGUCUGCAUGGAGCCGACCUUGAAAUACCACCCUUUAAUGUUUGAUGUUCUAACGUUGACCCGUAAUCCGGGUUGCGGACAGUGUCUGGUGGGUAGUUUGACUGGGGCGGUCUCCUCCUAAAGAGUAACGGAGGAGCACGAAGGUUGGCUAAUCCUGGUCGGACAUCAGGAGGUUAGUGCAAUGGCAUAAGCCAGCUUGACUGCGAGCGUGACGGCGCGAGCAGGUGCGAAAGCAGGUCAUAGUGAUCCGGUGGUUCUGAAUGGAAGGGCCAUCGCUCAACGGAUAAAAGGUACUCCGGGGAUAACAGGCUGAUACCGCCCAAGAGUUCAUAUCGACGGCGGUGUUUGGCACCUCGAUGUCGGCUCAUCACAUCCUGGGGCUGAAGUAGGUCCCAAGGGUAUGGCUGUUCGCCAUUUAAAGUGGUACGCGAGCUGGGUUUAGAACGUCGUGAGACAGUUCGGUCCCUAUCUGCCGUGGGCGCUGGAGAACUGAGGGGGGCUGCUCCUAGUACGAGAGGACCGGAGUGGACGCAUCACUGGUGUUCGGGUUGUCAUGCCAAUGGCACUGCCCGGUAGCUAAAUGCGGAAGAGAUAAGUGCUGAAAGCAUCUAAGCACGAAACUUGCCCCGAGAUGAGUUCUCCCUGACCCUUUAAGGGUCCUGAAGGAACGUUGAAGACGACGACGUUGAUAGGCCGGGUGUGUAAGCGCAGCGAUGCGUUGAGCUAACCGGUACUAAUGAACCGUGAGGCUUAACCUUACAACGCCGAAGCUGUU
rnacentral:rRNA from 1 species